rnacentral:lncRNA from 1 species
AAGAAAAAACGUGCCGGUGUGAGCAUUGUGGGAGGGGCUUCACCGCCACUCAAGUCUGUUUCCACAUCAAGUAGUCCCCAUGGAUGAGAAACCUUACAAAUGUGACAUGUGUAGGAAGGGGCUUCACCAGGAGCUCAAGCCUGCAUGUGCAUCAUUCUUCCAUACAGGUGAGAAACCUUUCAGAUGAGAUAGGUGUGGGUAGGGCUUCAGCCAGAGCUCAAACCUACACAUCCACUGGUGCACCCACACAGGAGAGAAGCCAUACCAGUGCUACGAAUGUGGGAAAGGUUUCAGCCAGAGUUUGGACCUUCGAAACCACCUCAGGGUACACACCAGGGGAAAGCCCUACCACUGUGGCAAGUGUGGGAGAGUCCACACGGGAGAGAAGCUGUAUGAAUGCAGCAGGUGUGCAUUCAUACAAUGCAACCUCCACAUCCACCAGCAGGUUCACAGGAAGGAGCUUCAUUAA